rnacentral:rRNA from 1 species
AUUGAAAGCUGGCGGCAGGCUUAACACAUGCAAGUCGAGCGAGCGGCGGACGGGUGAGUAAUGGCUGGGAAACUGCCUGAUGGAGGGGGAUAACUACUGGAAACGGUAGCUAAUACCGCAUACCAUCAGAUGUACCCAGAUGGGAUUAGCUAGUAGGUGGGGGAAUGGCGCACUUAGGCGACGAUCCCUAGCUGGUCUAAGAGGAUUACCAGCAACACUGGAACUGCGUCACGUGCCAGACUCCGACGGGAGGCAGCAGUGGGGACUAUUGCACAAUGGUCGCAAGCCUGAUGCAGCCAUGCCGCGUGUGUGAAGAAGGCCUUCGGGUUGUAAAGCACUUUCAGCGAGGAGGCGUUACUCGCAGAAGAAGCACCGGCUAACUCCGUGCCAGCCGCCGCGGUAAUUC